GAUGAAGAACGCAGCGAAAUGCGAUAAGUAAUGUGAAUUGCAGAAUUCAGUGAAUCAUCGAAUCUUUGAACGCAUCUUGCGCUCCUUGGUAUUCUGAGGAGCAUGCCUGUUUGAGUGUCAUUAAAUUCUCAACUACACUGACUUUGAAUUGGUGUGGCUUGGAUUUGGGGGGAAAAUUGUUGUGGGCUUUUUGUAUAGUCUGCUCCCCUGAAAUUGAUUAGCGGUACCUUUGUGGAACUGUCUACAGGUGUGAUAAUUAUCUACAUCUUAGACAUCUGCUGGAAUGCUGCUUUCUAAACCUUACUUGUAUUGACAAUCUUGACUUCAAAUCAGGUAGGACUACCCGCUGAACUUAAGCAUAUCAAUAAGCGGAGGA
rnacentral:misc_RNA from 1 species